GAUGAACGCUGGCGGCGUGCCUAAUACAUGCAAGUCGAGCGAACAGACUAGGAGCUUGCUCCUCUGACGAUAGCGGCGGACGUGCGAGCAAGACGUGGAUAACCUACUUAUAUGACUGGGAUCACGUCGGGAAACCGGAGCUCAUACCGGAAAACAUAUUGAACUGCAUUGUUCAAUAGUGAAAGACGGAAUUGUUGUCAUGCAUAGCUGGAUCCGCGUCGCAUUAGCUAGUUGGUAAGGUAACGGCUUACCAAGGCGACGAUGCGUAGCCGACCUGAGAGGGUGAUCGGCCACACUGGAACUGAGACACGGCCCAGACUCCUACGGGAGGCAGCAGUAGGGAAUCUUCCGCAAUGGGCGAAAGCUUGACGGAGCAACGCCGCGUGAGUGAUGAAGGUCUUCGGAUCGUAAAGCUCUGUUAUUAGGGAAGAACAAAUGUGUAAGUAACUAGGCACGUCUUGACGGUACCUAAUCAGAAAGCCGCGGCUAAAUUCGUG
rnacentral:rRNA from 1 species